CGUACUCAGUACAAUGGCGACACGUUGUCUGUUCUUGCACACAUAAUGAGUCGUAUCUUCUAGCAACCAGCAGUCUUGGGAAGAAAAUAAACCUGAAGUAACUAUUUACAGUGAUUUGAGUCUUUGCAACUUAAAUUAAGGAACAUCUUAGAAACUGCCUGUGCUCAAUGGAGGACAUCAGCUACCUACCCAGAAAACAGUUCCCACUUGUGGACCCAGCCAAAUUUGGAAUAAGGCCACAUCUAUAGUACCAUGGAGAAAGCAGAGCCAAGUUGGGUGUGAUCAGUCUCAGCAUCUCACAGACACAAGUACAUGGGUCUGCUCUGAAAACACCAGGUUAGAGUGUUGGUUGUUGGUUUAUUCAGGCCGCUUAGCUCCAUCCACAAGAUAUGUUUUCAGAUGGACCUAUAGCGAGAUUUGUCAUUUGUGCACUGUCAAUAAAUGAACCUUUUCAUCUUUCCUUAAUUUAUCAUUUCUCUUUCCAGAAAGAAAAUCCCUCCCACGCACAGUCACUAAUUAUCUCCAUGCACUUUCCAGGAGAGGGCCACCAACUAGACUUCUUUGUGCAUUCUCUUUGCGCUGAGGGGUGCCAGAAAGCUGGGUUUUCCUUUCCUCAGGGCUCAUGGGAUACAAAAGAGGAAGGCUGACAAAGACAUCUGGCAAAGAUACGCCUACCUCACUGUUGCUCAAAACAACAUUGACUCAAGUUUGCAUAAAGUAUAUUUAAAGCAAAAUCUUAUUCAAUUCAGAUGGACUUAAGAGUCAAUGCAAACAUUUAAUACAGUUCUAAUUACCAGUCUCCUGCCUACAUCAUCCAUUCAUCUGAAUCAAAAUAAAUAUGAUGGACUGUAAUAAAAAACUUGGCA
rnacentral:lncRNA from 1 species